AAAACAAGCAACGGGAUGGAAUCCACUCCGAGCUAGCAGCAGCCAGCUACCCAGGUUUUGGCUCCCUCCUAGCCAUGGAGAUAGAUAGAUAAGAGAGAGAUAGACGGUGGCUGUGCAUGGUGGAGAAGCAGGGCACGUGCAUUACCAUCCAAUGCCGCCAUUAUUCCGGCCGCUCCAUGCUCCUCCUCCUCUGGGCUGCUCACCAACCGUUAUGGAUGGAUGCAUGGACAUGGAUCCAUGGAUGGAUGGUUCUUCAUGUGCCCAUCUUCUCCACCGAGCACAAACUGUCUCAGCAUGCCUCAGCUCGCCAGGUGCAUGAUAAGCCUCACCGGAGUGAGGCGGUGCAGGCGGUUCCUCUCAUCUCUCAUCAGCGGUUUUAACUUUGCAAGCUAAGAUCCAUGCUCAUAUGUUCGAUGUUCUUGUAUGUCUCUUUCACCCCUGAUUUCCUCUUUAUUGCUUAGUCUCGGUGACUCUAUGGUGGUUCAGUGCCAUUUUAAUUUUAUCUUUACUCAAGAAUUCAGCAGUGUUCUCUCAAGGGAGGACCAAGCUGUACACUUCAGUUCGGACUACUCUUUUGGCUGUUUGCUUCAUCUUCAGCUGUUCUUGAAAUUAACUUUUGGAUUAGAUAUUUGGUUUGAUUUUAUCCACAGCAACUCCCCGACUGAAACGUCAUGGCGUCGUUUUCACAGAGAAAAUGCAGGCGAUCACCGGAAUAUGCUGUCAUGCUGGGUCGAAGGAUUGCUUGGGAUCGGCAUGGCGUCGUGCUCUCCCUUCAGAUAUCAGGAGCCUCAUCUCAUCGUCGAUCGAUAUGGUGUCGGCAUCAACCAGCUGACGGGAACGCGCACAUGGCAUUUAUCCUGUGCGUUUCUGCCGUACAAACAACAAUAGCUGUGAAAGGAACAAUCACGGUGCCGUUGCUAUCCUUCCCUCCAUGAAUAGUACAGCAUUGCAGAAAAAGUGGAAGUGUUCAUCUUGAUACCCUGCCUUGCUAUCGCUUUUAUCUUAGCUGAAACGAGUGGUUUCCCGACACUGAACAUUGAUUUGAUACAGUCAUCUUGAUACCCUGCGAAGCCGAUCGAGAUGCAACGAUUUGAGCAGUUCACAGUACUUAUCUUAAUUAAUUUCAACAGUACAACAUGAGAGUCCAUACAUGAUGCGUGCAAACUUCAGUCGGGCCAGAUAAACGCCGGAAAUCUACUUCUGCUGGAAGCUCUGGGUAUCUCCAUUCGGAAGAGCGCUCUCUGAAAUGAAAACUGCACAGAUCCUGAAGCCAAUGUGUUGUCAAAUAAUCCUCAAGUGCUUUCAACUGCCAGUGGCCACACAUGUUAUAUUCCAUGGUUCUGUUUUCAGGGACCUUGUAUAUAAGUAGUACAUGUGGUAGUCUUUUUCAUAAAUAAUAAAGGCACUUCUCUGUGUAA